GUAUCCUUACCUGAAUACAUAGGGUAAGGAGGCGAACCGGGGGAACUGAAACAUCUAAGUACCCCGAGGAAAAGAAAUCAACCGAGAUUCCGAAAGUAGCGGCGAGCGAAAUUGGACUAGCCCUUAAGCUUUACACGCGUUAGACGAACGGUCUGGAAAGUCCGACGAUACAGGGUGAUAGUCCCGUAGUUGACGACGUGUGUUCAGUGAAAUCGAGUAGGGCGGGACACGUGAUAUCCUGUCUGAAUAUGGGGGGACCAUCCUCCAAGGCUAAAUACUACUGACUGACCGAUAGUGAACCAGUACCGUGAGGGAAAGGCGAAAAGAACCCCUGUGAGGGGAGUGAAAUAGAACCUGAAACCGUGUACGUACAAGCAGUAGGAGCAGGCUUUGUCCUGUGACUGCGUACCUUUUGUAUAAUGGGUCAGCGACUUAUAUUCAGUGGCAAGGUUAACCAUCUAGGGGAGCCGUAGGGAAACCGAGUCUUAACUGGGCGUUCAGUCUCUGGAUAUAGACCCGAAACCAGGUGAUCUAGCCAUGGGCAGGUUGAAGGUUGAGUAACAUCAACUGGAGGACCGAACCGACUAAUGUUGAAAAAUUAGCGGAUGACUUGUGGCUAGGGGUGAAAGGCCAAUCAAACCUGGAGAUAGCUGGUUCUCCCCGAAAGCUAUUUAGGUAGCGCCUCGGACGAAUACUACUGGGGGUAGAGCACUGUUAAGGCUAGGGGGUCAUCCCGACUUACCAACCCUUUGCAAACUCCGAAUACCAGUAAGUACUAUCCGGGAGACACACGGCGGGUGCUAACGUCCGUCGUGGAGAGGGAAACAACCCAGACCGCCAGCUAAGGUCCCAAAUUACUACUAAGUGGGAAACGAUGUGGGAAGGCUCAGACAGCCAGGAUGUUGGCUUAGAAGCAGCCAUCAUUUAAAGAAAGCGUAAUAGCUCACUGGUCGAGUCGGCCUGCGCGGAAGAUGUAACGGGGCUAAGUAGUAAACCGAAGCUGCGGCAAUGUGCUUUUGCACAUUGGGUAGGGGAGCGUUCUGUAAGCGGUUGAAGGUGUGUGGUAACGCAUGCUGGACGUAUCAGAAGUGCGAAUGCUGACAUGAGUAACGAUAAAGGGGGUGAAAAACCUCCUCGCCGGAAGACCAAGGGUUCCUGUCCAACGUUAAUCGGGGCAGGGUAAGUCGACCCCUAAGGCGAGGCCGAAAGGCGUAGUCGAUGGGAAACGGGUUAAUAUUCCCGUACUUCUUACAAUUGCGAUGGGGGGACGGAGAAGGCUAGGUGGGCCUGGCGACGGUUGUCCAGGUUCAAGUGCGUAGGCUUGAGAGUUAGGUAAAUCCGGCUCUUUUUAAGGCUGAGACACGACGUCGAGCACUACGGUGUGAAGUCAUUGAUGCCAUGCUUCCAGGAAAAGCCUCUAAGCUUCAGAUUGUAAGGAAUCGUACCCCAAACCGACACAGGUGGUCGGGUAGAGAAUACCAAGGCGCUUGAGAGAACUCGGGUGAAGGAACUAGGCAAAAUGGUACCGUAACUUCGGGAGAAGGUACGCUCUCGACGGUGAAGUCCCUCGCGGAUGGAGCUAUUGAGAGUCGCAGAUACCAGGUGGCUGCAACUGUUUAUUAAAAACACAGCACUGUGCAAAAUCGUAAGAUGACGUAUACGGUGUGACGCCUGCCCGGUGCCGGAAGGUUAAUUGAUGGGGUUAGACUUCGGUCGAAGCUCUUGAUCGAAGCCCCGGUAAACGGCGGCCGUAACUAUAACGGUCCUAAGGUAGCGAAAUUCCUUGUCGGGUAAGUUCCGACCUGCACGAAUGGCGUAAUGAUGGCCACGCUGUCUCCACCCGAGACUCAGUGAAAUUGAAAUCGCUGUGAAGAUGCAGUGUAUCCGCGGCUAGACGGAAAGACCCCGUGAACCUUUACUACAGCUUGGCACUGAACAUUGACCCUACAUGUGUAGGAUAGGUGGGAGGCUUUGAAGCACGUACGCCAGUAUGUGUGGAGCCGUCCUUGAAAUACCACCCUUGUAGUGUUGAUGUUCUAACGUCGACCCCUUAUCGGGGUUGCGGACAGUGCCUGGUGGGUAGUUUGACUGGGGCGGUCUCCUCCCAAAGAGUAACGGAGGAGCACGAAGGUGGGCUAAUCACGGUUGGACAUCGUGAGGUUAGUGCAAUGGCAUAAGCCCGCUUGACUGCGAGAAUGACAAUUCGAGCAGGUGCGAAAGCAGGUCAUAGUGAUCCGGUGGUUCUGAAUGGAAGGGCCAUCGCUCAACGGAUAAAAGGUACUCCGGGGAUAACAGGCUGAUACCGCCCAAGAGUUCAUAUCGACGGCGGUGUUUGGCACCUCGAUGUCGGCUCAUCACAUCCUGGGGCUGAAGUCGGUCCCAAGGGUAUGGCUGUUCGCCAUUUAAAGUGGUACGCGAGCUGGGUUUAGAACGUCGUGAGACAGUUCGGUCCCUAUCUGCCGUGGGCGUUGGAAGAUUGAAGGGGGCUGCUCCUAGUACGAGAGGACCGGAGUGGACGAACCUCUGGUGUUCGGGUUGUGUCGCCAGACGCAUUGCCCGGUAGCUAAGUUCGGAAUCGAUAACCGCUGAAAGCAUCUAAGCGGGAAGCGAGCCCUGAGAUGAGUCUUCCCUGAUACUUUAAGUAUCCUAAAGGGUUGUCGGAGACUACGACGUUGAUAGGUCAGGUGUGUAAGUGCUGUGAGGCAUUGAGCUAACUGAUACUAAUUGCCCGUGAGGCUUAACCAUACAACACCCAAGGGGUUU
rnacentral:rRNA from 1 species